UACGUAGGGUGCGAGCGUUGUCCGGAAUUAUUGGGCGUAAAGGGCUCGUAGGCGGUUUGUCGCGUCGGGAGUGAAAACCCAGGGCUUAACUCUGGGCUUGCUUUCGAUACGGGCAGACUAGAGGUAUGCAGGGGAGAACGGAAUUCCUGGUGUAGCGGUGAAAUGCGCAGAUAUCAGGAGGAACACCGGUGGCGAAGGCGGGUCUCUGGGCCGAUACUGACGCUGAGGCGCGAAAGCGUGGGGAGCAAACAGG
rnacentral:rRNA from 1 species